UUAAUGGCAAUGAAGAAUAGUCUUCCACUGUUUUUUCGGAUCAGUGACUCAUUUGGGCAUCUCUUCUAUCUUCCACCGCUAUCUCUUUUCCAAUUUGGAACCGACGAAAGAGAUAUGAGAAUCGAUCCAAUCUUUGACUAAUCGCCGAAGCCAUGUACUGGCUGUUAGACCGAUACCAUUGUUCAUCGGCGAUCUGAAUACAUAGAUCCGGUCCGAUGAUAAGAUUCAUGUACUGAACCCACUCAGCCAAGAAAUCGACAUGUAAAUGCAGCUAACAACCUCUAUCCUACAAAUGUCAAUCACCUUCUUCUCCGUUAACUUUUCUAGUAAUAAACUCUGGUCCCAUUUGGUCAUUUCCAUUUUCCUCUGCCUCGGUUUCGUCGAUUUUUUCGAUAUAUAUAAACACAUCAAGAACGGCUACUGCUGUGUUUCACCAAUCCAUUGGAACUCACCAGUCCCAUGGACAUCUCUAGAACUCUGGCAUGGUGAAUCAUUGUGGAACGAAAAGAACUUGUUCAUUGACUGUGUUGAUGUGCAUCUGAGCAAGAAGGGUAUAGAAGAGGAAUUGAAGCUGGCAAGAAAAUCAGCAACAUACCUGUCGACAGGAUCUAUACAUCUGCACUGAUUCAUGCACAGAUGACUGCCAUGCCUGCCAAGACACAGCACCUUUGUAAGAAGGCACAAGUUAUUCAAAGGGCUGCAGUACAACCAUUGAUUAAGAUGCUCCAGUCACCUGAUUCACAGGUCAGGGAGAUGUUGCCUUUUGCAAUUGGGAGGUUGGCACAGCUCAAUUUGCUUUACUGCACCUUGCGGUUUGCUCCACAGGCCUUGCAUAGAUUUGGAACCAAACAUUGCAUUCAGUGGUGAUAAGGAUAAUCUUGUAACCACCAGGAAGAUAUAUAAUCUGGCUUGAAACCUUACAACCAAGAUGCUGCUUAUGACCACAUUACCAAGUCAUAAGAAUCUGCACUGGGCAAGCUUUCUUCAAGCUUUGUGACUAGCAUCAAGUAUCUAGAACAACACAGCUCUUUCAUUUUGGCAUGUAGAACUGUUCUCUUUUUGAAUUUUAAUUCUCUUUAGUUAUGGACACUUGUCCUACUUAAUAUUUAUA